rnacentral:rRNA from 1 species
UACGUAGGGUGCAAGCGUUGUCCGGAAUUAUUGGGCGUAAAGAGCUCGUAGGCGGUUCGUCGCGUCGGCUGUGAAAUCCCGAGGCUCAACCUCGGGUCUGCAGUCGAUACGGGCGGACUGGAGUUCGGCAGGGGAGACUGGAAUUCCUGGUGUAGCGGCGAAAUGCGCAGAUAUCAGGAGGAACACCGGUGGCGAAGGCGGGUCUCUGGGCCGAUACUGACGCUGAGGAGCGAAAGCGUGGGGAGCGAACAGG